rnacentral:pre_miRNA from 1 species
AGGCCUGGAUUGGCUGCAAUGCAUGUGUGUUCAUUUGUAUUGCACUUGUCCCGGCCUCU